rnacentral:rRNA from 1 species
UGGGGAAUAUUGCACAAUGGGCGCAAGCCUGAUGCAGCCAUGCCGCGUGUAUGAAGAAGGCCUUCGGGUUGUAAAGUACUUUCAGCGAGGAGGAAGGCGUUGUGGUUAAUAACCGCAGCGAUUGACGUUACUCGCAGAAGAAGCACCGGCUAACUCCGUGCCAGCAGCCGCGGUAAUACGGAGGGAGCAAGCGUUAAUCGGAAUUACUGGGCGUAAAGCGCACGCAGGCGGUCUGUCAAGUCGGAUGUGAAAUCCCCGGGCUCAACCUGGGAACUGCAUCCGAAACUGGCAGGCUAGAGUCUUGUAGAGGGGGGUAGAAUUCCAGGUGUAGCGGUGAAAUGCGUAGAGAUCUGGAGGAAUACCGGUGGCGAAGGCGGCCCCCUGGACAAAGACUGACGCUCAGGUGCGAAAGCGUGGGGAGCAAACA